ACUGUAAGGUGGUGUAGUGUAAGGUGGUGUAGUGUAAGGUGGUAACAUCAGCAGAAUUAUAGAGACAGUAGAUAACUGUAAGGUGGUGUAGUGUAAGGUGGUAACAUCAGCAGAAUUAUAGAGACAGUAGAUAACUGUAAGGUGGUGUAGUGUAAGGUGGUAACAUCAGCAGAAUUAUAGAGACAGUAGAUAACUGUAAGGUGGUGUAGUGUAAGGUGGUGUAGUGUAAGGUGGUAACAUCAGCAGAAUUAUAGAGACAGUAGAUAACUGUAUGA